CAGAUGUGUUUCAGAGGAACUUGACCAAGGUGCAGUAAGCCUCUGAGAACUUUUUGUCAGGAGUCCUCCAGCUCACAUUGACUUUAUUCAUACAUUGCAUCCUCAUGCUGCAGGGAUAUUAUUGAUGUGGGACAAGAAUAUUAAGAGCAACUUGGAAAUGGUAGAAAGUAAUAUCUCUUUCGGCAUCAAUCUUUAUUGAUUCAGACAGCACAGAUGGACAGGCUUUCCCAGGAAAGACAAGAGCCAAGUGUACACCAGCUCUGACAAUAUAGGAUCAAUUCAGCUCACAGCUAAAGACUCCCAAGAAAAGAGGUUUAAAAGUCUCACAAUUCAGAGUUAGACUAUGGCGAUACUUGGAAAAGGACAUCUUUCAUUGUGGCUCUAAAUGAAGCAAGAUUGGACUCCCACCUUGGGAUCCAGCAUCUAGCACUUAGUAGGAAGAGAAAACUAAAGAAGGAAAAACCAUCAUCAACAACAAACCAUCCCACAAGGUUUGAACACUGCCUGAGUGCAUUUUUGCCAUGUUAAACUAUUAGAAGAGCUAUCUUGGGAAAGCAAGUAGAAGAAGAGGUUGGAGAAUAGGUGAUUCAAAAAAGCACUUCAGUAUUUCAUAUUUUUGAUGUGUUUUCCAUUAGACAACACUUGCCCAGCUGCAAGAGUUUUUUUAACACCAACUGGAGCUGGCUGCUUGACAUAGCUGAGGCUACAUAAAAUUCUGAGUGCUCCUGUCUCUGUUGGAGC
rnacentral:lncRNA from 1 species